AUUGAGCGCUGGCGGCAGGCCUAACACAUGCAAGUCGAACGGUAGCACAGAGAGCUUGCUCUCGGGUGACGAGUGGCGGACGGGUGAGUAAUGUCUGGGAAACUGCCCGAUGGAGGGGGAUAACUACUGGAAACGGUAGCUAAUGCCGCAUAACGUCGCAAGACCAAAGUGGGGGACCUUCGGGCCUCACACCAUCGGAUGUGCCCAGAUGGGAUUAGCUAGUAGGUGGGGUAAUGGCUCACCUAGGCGACGAUCCCUAGCUGGUCUGAGAGGAUGACCAGCCACACUGGUACUGAGACACGGUCCAGACUCCUACGGGAGGCAGCAGUGGGGAAUAUUGCACAAUGGGCGCAAGCCUGAUGCAGCCAUGCCGCGUGUAUGAAGAAGGCCUUCGGGUUGUAAAGUACUUUCAGCGGGGAGGAAGGCGGUGAAGUUAAUAACUUCACCGAUUGACGUUACCCGCAGAAGAAGCACCGGCUAACUACGUGCCAGCCGCCGCCGUAACAC
rnacentral:rRNA from 1 species